UUGCUUGAGUGCUGCUCUGUAGGGGUCAGAUCAUUUAGAAAAUGCAAUGUUGGUGAGAAUUGAGGAUAUCAGUGUGUUGGGUACCAGCACUCAUAAAACUGAGCUGAAACUACUGAUUUUAGGUAGCUACAGAUUCCACUAAUCUCCACCAACAACCUUAUACCAUGGUUGUUUUUGUUAAUGUUGCAGAGCAACAAAAUAAUUCAAUUCAAGGAAGCAUCCAGAAGUCAUCUUGCUUAUCUGAACUACAGCUGCAUCUGCAAAACUGGACUGGAAAUCUGCAGAGGAUGUGCUCUUCAUAAGAUUUCUAAUAUUUCCCUUUUCUAGUCAGGCUGGACUGAUGAGAGCAUCCUGCCCUUGUCCCUGGUUCCAGCCAGAGCCAAGAAGUGAGAUGCAUGUGAAAAUGAAAGGGGUAUGUGGAGAAAUAAUAAAGUCCCUCUUGCCAAAUCUGAAAAAUGUCAUCUUGGAUUUCAUGAAAGAGCCACUGUAGGCAUGCUGGAGAUCUGUAAUGAAGGUCUGCUGCAACUGAAAUCCCAAAGAUUAACUGGGAUAUUAGUGUAAAAUCAAACUGACAUUGAUUAGUAACUGCAGCAUCUGGAGUAAGUUGGACUCAAAGCAAGCAGGUGUUAUGAAGGUCAUGGAAGUCAUAUGGCUUCUGAGGCAGGAUUGCUGACUGAACACUUGCCAACCCCUCCAUGUCCAUAUCCCUCAACCUGUCUUACAUGUGCACUGGAGCAAAUUUGAGGGGAGGAAUGGAGGAAGAUGCUGCUUUUUCUGGCCUGGGAUGGCUACUGCCUGUGUGCUUCGUUGUUCUCCUUCUGCACAGUAGCUGGAAUGGCUUCUGGUUCUCUUUCAUCCCUGUCCAGCUGGGACCCUUCAGCAUCACCCAUGGGAUGGGGUGAGUGUACUUACCACACAAGCAUAGAACCACAGAGAAUUUUCCCUCUUUAGCUUGACUUGAGCUGUUGAGGCAUGAGAGAUUUGCUGGAGAACAUUUGGCUAUAUGUUUUCCUCAUAGUGUUUCCUUAACAACUUGAGAAUGACCCAGUGUCAGGACGCACAAGGACAGACGUUAUUCUAUAUCCUCUGGGCUGCAAGGUUAGUGUUGAAUUAACAAAGUUUGGCUUUGUGCAUAAAUACAUAUAGCAAUUAUGCGCUUCCAGCUCUGCAUGAUUCCUCCAUCUGUUGUAAUUGCCACAGUUUAUGAAUAAAUAAAUAAAUAAGGGCUUA